rnacentral:rRNA from 1 species
AUACGGAGGGUGCAAGCGUUAAUCGGAAUUACUGGGCGUAAAGCGCGCGUAGGCGGUUUGGUAAGUCGGAUGUGAAAGCCCCGGUCUCAACCUGGGAAUUGCAUUCGAUACUGCCAGACUAGAGUAUGGUAGAGGGAAGUGGAAUUCCGGGUGUAGCGGUGAAAUGCGUAGAUAUCCGGAGGAACACCAGUGGCGAAGGCGACUUCCUGGACCAAUACUGACGCUGAGGUGCGAAAGCGUGGGGAGCAAACAGGAUUAGAAACCCCAGUAGUCC